rnacentral:rRNA from 1 species
UACGGGGGGUGCAAGCGUUGUUCGGAAUUAUUGGGCGUAAAGAGCGUGUAGGCGGCUUGACAAGUCAGAUGUGAAAUCCCUGGGCUUAACCUAGGAAGUGCAUUUGAAACUGUCAGGCUUGAGUAAGGGAGAGGAAAGUGGAAUUCCUGGUGUAGAGGUGAAAUUCGUAGAUAUCAGGAGGAACACCGGUGGCGAAGGCGACUUUCUGGCCCUAUACUGACGCUGAGACGCGAAAGCGUGGGUAGCAAACAGG